GUGUCAGCAGCCGCGGUAAUACGUAGGGUGCGAGCGUUGUCCGGAAUCACUGGGCGUAAAGGGUGCGUAGGCGGGUUUUUAAGUCAGAGGUGAAAUCCUGGAGCUCAACUCCAGAACUGCCUUUGAUACUGAAAGUCUUGAGUACGGGAGAGGUGAGUGGAACUGCGAGUGUAGAGGUGAAAUUCGUAGAUAUUCGCAAGAACACCAGUGGCGAAGGCGGCUCACUGGCCCAUAACUGACGCUGAGGCACGAAAGCGUGGGGAGCAAACAGGAUUAGAAACCCCUGUAGUCC
rnacentral:rRNA from 1 species